GACGAGCAGCAGAGCAGCUAGUGAGCAGGCUGAAGCUGCAUGGACUCUAUGUGUGUGCGUUCACCGUAUCCUGUGUGCGUUCUUGAGGAAAUGGGCACACAGGGCUGUUGUGACGCAGAGACCCGACUGGUCAUGGAUAUAUACAGGAGAGACAAGCGUCCUCAGAUGUGAGACUGACAAUGGAGGAGACUCAGAGUGGGAGUAUGAAUGGAGAACAACGAGCUCAAUAAAACCUCCAAAUGAAAGAGAAUUCAGGAUUACUGCUAGUGAAUGGCACUGGGGAAGGUUGAACAUCCAUCUGCAGGAUGGAGGUUUUACUGGUAUAAAGCUGCUCCAGAUGACUGUUUUGGGGCCCAAGGGAGACCUACACAAUAUUAGGAAGGUGGUCAUAAUGUUAUGCUCAUCCUGCCAGCAGGGGGUGCUGUUGUCCC